rnacentral:rRNA from 1 species
CACAGAGGCCAUACCACCCAGAACGCGGCCGAUCUCCUCUGAUCUCGGAAGCUAAGCAGGGUCAGGCCUGGUGAGUACUUGGAUGGGAGACCGCAUGGGAAUACCGGGUGCUGUAGACU